rnacentral:rRNA from 1 species
UACGGAGGAUGCGAGCGUUAUCCGGAUUUAUUGGGUUUAAAGGGUGCGCAGGCGGUGCGUUAAGUCAGCGGUGAAAUGUCCCGGCUCAACCGGGGAGCUGCCGUUGAUACUGGCGCGCUGGAGUGCGGACGGCGCCGGCGGAAUGUGCAAUGUAGCGGUGAAAUGCAUAGAUAUUGCACAGAACACCGAUCGCGAAGGCAGCUGGCGAGGCCGUUACUGACGCCGAGGCACGAAGGCGAGGGGAUCGAAC